rnacentral:rRNA from 1 species
CAGCAGCCGCGGUAAUACGAGGGGUGCGAGCGUUGCUCGGAAUUAUUGGGCGUAAAGGGUAGGUAGGUGGUUUCGUUUGUCUGGGGUGAAAGCCUUGAGCUUAACUCAAGAAGUGCCUCGGAAACGGCGAAACUCGAGUACUGGAGAGGGUCGUGGAAUUCCCGGUGUAGCGGUGAAAUGCGUAGAGAUCGGGAGGAACACCAGAGGCGAAGGCGGCGACCUGGACAGUUACUGACACUCAACUACGAAAGCGUGGGGAGCAAACAGGAUUAGAUACCCUGGUAGUCCACGCUGUAAACGAUGGGUACUAGGCUUGGCGGGUCUUGACCCCUGCUGAGCCGGCGCUAACGCAAUAAGUACCCCGCCUGGGAAGUACGGUCGCAAGACUAAAACUCAAAGGAAUUGACGG